GUUCUAUGUGUCUAAGAAAAGCUGACAUGCAACAUACUCAUGCAUCAAGAGAACAUCUUCACAGGCCAAUUUCAAUCCGUUAAUUUCAUUUUUGCUUAGUUUUCAGAUGGGAAAAAAAAAAAUUCUACUCUCUCUCAUUUAAGCUCAACUUGAGCAGAUUCAAAUGGUUUAAAAUAGAUUCUAUUAGGAGGCAAUCUGGGAUACAUUGCACGCAUGCAAAAUAUUAACUUGGAUGAAACAUUCUAAUGGACAUAUUAAAAAGACAUUUUGCAAACAAAAACAGUAGAUGAAAUACAAACUUGCCCAAGGGGUUUUCUGCAAUUUUCAUUUUCUUACUAAAGAUUUAAGACAUUUGCAUUAGAGUAAUUUCUUGUACACUGGUGUUUGUCUUGAGCUACCAGAGGAAAUGCAAAGGUUGGAGUACUGUGAGCAUUUACUUAACUGAAUGUUGGAAUUAUAUCUUUUCCCCUUCCCAUUAGUCGCUUCUGUAACCCUUGCUGUGUGAGGAUGCCACCUAAAUAUUGUUGUUUUUCUUAUUUUCACAUGUGAAACAUAAACAUCUUAAACAUAAGUAUAUUAAUUUCUUACAAUCCUUAUGGCUUUUUUUUCUAAACAUACAAUCUUUAUUGCUUAGUUUUACAUCUCUGCAUCCACAUUGAAAGUAGAUGCAAGCCUUAAAAUCCCAAAUUAAAUAAAUGACAUAUUCAAGGAAAAUAACGUCCCACUGUUGUUCACCAAAAAAAAUCCCGCUUUCAAAUAAAAAUUAUGGAAAUUUCUUGUAAAUAAAAUCUAGAAUGACACCUUCGAUUAUAACAAAAUCUUCUUAGCAAGAAAAACUCAGGUAUGGCUAUAUCCAGUUUGUUUGUAUGUCCACCAUCCUCCUUUUAUACAUCUGAGUGUUAAAAAGCUGACAAGAGAUUAUAUAUACAUUUGUGGUGUUUGCAGAUUUUGGUAUCGUGUUUUGUGAA
rnacentral:misc_RNA from 1 species